rnacentral:miRNA from 14 species
AUAUUAUUAUAUAGACAUAUUAAGACAGUUGAUAAUAAGAAGAACAACUGUCUUAUCUUCUUAUUAUCAACUGUCUUAAUAUGUCUAUAUAA